rnacentral:lncRNA from 1 species
CUUGCCCCGCCUUUUAUAGGGGAGAACCCGGGUACGAAAGGACGCCUCAAACCGCAAUCCAAAGCCGAAGCGGCAUCCAAUAAAAAAUGACACCUAGGCUCAGAAACCGUCUAGCUCAGCUCUCCCCCGACGUUCGAGGGUGACAUUUUCGAUAGAAGCGAUCCUUACUCACGUGUUCAGCCCAUCAGAGUCGAUCCUCA